AUGUUGGUUUUUUGCAGGAAUUAUCUAGACAAGACAGAUGCUAUAAAGGCACCAAAAUAUAGACAGAAUGGCAGGUUGCUUGUGUUGGAUCCAAAGGAAAAAGUGAUGAUUGAACCAAGUGAAACAAUGUCAAAUAAAUGCCUCUUUGAACGCAGACCAAGAUUAGCAAGCAAACUUUAUACCUCACCAGCACAAGUCUCUCUGAAUGUAGCUAAGACAUUCUCAGAAAAGUAA
rnacentral:lncRNA from 1 species